rnacentral:rRNA from 1 species
AUUGAACGCUGGCGGCAGGCCUAACACAUGCAAGUCGAACGGUAACAGGAAGAAGCUUGCUUCUUUGCUGACGAGUGGCGGACGGGUGAGUAAUGUUUGGGAAACUGCCUGAUGGAGGGGGAUAACUACUGGAAACGGUAGCUAAUACCGCAUAACGUCGCAAGCCCAAAGAGGGGGACCUUCGGGCCUCUUGCCAUCGGAUGUGCCCAGAUGGGAUUAGCUAGUAGGUGGGGUAACGGCUCACCUAGGCGACGAUCCCUAGCUGGUCUGAGAGGAUGACCAGCCACACUGGAAGUGAGACACGGUCCAGACUCCUACGGGAGGCAGCAGUGGGGAAUAUUGCACAAUGGGCGCAAGCCUGAUGCAGCCAUGCCGCGUGUAUGAAGAAGGCCUUCGGGUUGUAAAGUACUUUCAGCGGGGAGGAAGGGAGUAAAGUUAAUACCUUUGCUCAUUGACGUUACCCGCAGAAGAAGCACCGGCUAACUCCGUG